rnacentral:Y_RNA from 1 species
GUGUGGUCCAAGUGCAGUGGUGUUUACGACAAAUUCAUCACAACCAAUUACAGAUUCCUUUGUUUCUUCUCCGCUCCCACUGCUUCACUUGACCAGCCUUAA